rnacentral:rRNA from 1 species
AGAGUUUGAUCCUGGCUCAGAAUCAACGCUGGCGGCGUGCCUAACACAUGCAAGUCGCACGAGAAAGGGGAGCAAUCCCUGAGUAAAGUGGCGCACGGGUGAGUAACACGUGAAUCAUCUACCUCCGAGUGGGGAAUAACCUAGAGAAAUCUGGGCUAAUACCGCAUAACACUUACGAGUCAAAGCAGCAAUGCGCUUGGAGAGGAGUUCGCGGCCGAUUAGUUAGUUGGCGGGGUAAUGGCCCACCAAGACGAUGAUCGGUAUCCGGCCUGAGAGGGCGCACGGACACACUGGAACUGAAACACGGUCCAGACUCCUACGGGAGGCAGCAGUGGGGAAUUUUGCGCAAUGGGGGAAACCCUGACGCAGCAACGCCGCGUGGAGGAUGAAAUAUCUUGGUAUGUAAACUCCUUUCGAUGGGGAAGAUAAUGACGGUACCCAUAGAAGAAGCCCCGGCUAACUUCGUGCCAGCAGCCGCGGUAAUACGAGGGGGGCAAGCGUUGUUCGGAUUUAUUGGGCGUAAAGGGUGCGUAGGCGGUUUGGCAAGUCUUAUGUGAAAUCUUCGGGCUCAACCCGAAGCCUGCAUAAGAAACUGCCGGGCUUGAGUAUGGGAGAGGUGAGUGGAAUUUCCGGUGUAGCGGUGAAAUGCGUAGAUAUCGGAAGGAACACCUGUGGCGAAAGCGGCUCACUGGACCAUAACUGACGCUGAUGCACGAAAGCUAGGGGAGCAAACAGGAUUAGAUACCCUGGUAGUCCUAGCCCUAAACGAUGAUUGUUUGAUGUGGCAGGUACCCAAUCCUGCCGUGUCGAAGCUAACGCGAUAAACAAUCCGCCUNGGGGAGUACGGUCGCAAGGCUGAAACUCAAAGGAAUGACGAA